ensembl:snRNA U6 U6 spliceosomal RNA
GAGCUCACUUCCGCAGCACAUAUACUAAAAUUGUAACCAUACAGAGAUUACCAUGACCCCCAUGCAAGGAUGACUCGCAAAUUUGUGAAGAGUUCCAUAUUAAA